GUUGAGUUAGCUCAGUUGGGGUACAGUUUGAAUCUGCCCAUUCUGACCUCUGAUCUGAAGGUCAUGCGUUCGAUCCGCAUACUCGACA
rnacentral:tRNA from 1 species